ensembl:snRNA U6 U6 spliceosomal RNA
GUGCUCACUUCAGCAGCACAUAUACUAAAAUUGGAACAAUACAGAGAUUAACAUGGCCCCUGCACAAGGAUGACACACAAAUUCGUGAAGCGUUCCAUAUUUUU